rnacentral:rRNA from 1 species
UACAGAGGUCUCAAGCGUUGUUCGGAUUCAUUGGGCGUAAAGGGUGCGUAGGCGGCGCGGUAAGUCGGGUGUGAAAUCUUGGAGCUUAACUCCGAAACUGCAUUCGAUACUGCCGUGCUUGAGGACUGGAGAGGAGACUGGAAUUUACGGUGUAGCGGUGAAAUGUGUAGAUAUCGUAAGGAAGACCGGUGGCGAAGGCGGGUCUCUGGACAGUUCCUGACGCUGAGGCACGAAGGUCAGGGGAGCAAACGGG